UACGUAGGGGGCAAGCGUUGUCCGGAAUCAUUGGGCGUAAAGCGCGUGUAGGCGGCUAGGUAAGUCUGCUCUGAAAGCCCGGGGCUCAACCCCGGGAGGCGGGUGGAUACUGUCUAGCUCGAGUCCGGAAGAGGAGUGUGGAAUUCCUGGUGUAGCGGUGAAAUGCGCAGAUAUCAGGAGGAACACCAAUGGCGAAGGCAGCUCGCUGGGACGUUACUGACGCUGAGACGCGAAAGCGUGGGGAGCGAACAGG
rnacentral:rRNA from 1 species